AGGCGGGACUCCGGAGUGGGCGGGGCUCCGGCUCUAGGCAGGCUGCUAUGUUGGAUCAAGUAAAGUUCUAAACGCUGUGCACCUAUUUAGUACUGACUAGUACUAGGAAGUGUAUUUGCUUUUCGGAGAUGAUGGGAUCUAAAUUUUGUUUAUACCACUUCACGCCCAUUAGGAUGGCUACUAGCAAAACCCCCAGAAAUUAGUGUUGGUGAAGAUGUAGAGAAAUUGAAGCCCUUGUAUAUUGCUGUUGGGAAUGUAAAAUGGUGCAGCCAUGUGAUGAACAAUACUGCGGUUCCUCAACAAAUCAGUUAUAUGAUCCAGCAUUUUCUUUUCUGGGUAUAUAACCCAAAAGAAUUUAAAACAGGGUGUACAAGAAGAAAUGUUUUUACACUCACGUUGACAGCGGCACUAUUCACAAUAGCCAAAAGGGUGGAGGCAAUUUAAGUGUCCAAAAACAGAUACAUGGAUAAGCAAAAUGUUGUCUGUGCAUGCAAGGGAACAUUUUUUAGCCUGAACAAAGAACGAAAUUCUGACACUUGCUACUACAUGGAUGAACCUGGAGGACACUAUGCUGAGGGAGGUAAGCCAGUCAAAAAAAGACAAAUACUGUGUGAUUCCACUUAUAUAAUAAGGUACCUAGAGGAGUCAAACUUAUAGGGACAGAAAAUAGAAUGGGGGUUGUUGAGGGCUGGUGGAAGGGGGAAUGGAAAGUUGGUGUUUCAUGGG
rnacentral:lncRNA from 10 species